UGAAUACGAGACGCUACGGCGUCGAAGCAGUCGAUGUCAUACUUCCAAGAAAAGCUUGCAAUGUCAUAAACAAAUAAUGCCUGUACCAUAACCGACACAGGUGGGUAGGUAGAGUAUACUAAGGGGCGCGAGAUAACUCUCUCUAAGGAACUCGGCAAAAUGACUCCGUAACUUCGGGAGAAGGAGUGCCUUAUUUAUAAGGUUGCAAUAACAAGAUCCAAGCAACUGUUUAUCAAAAACACAGGUCUCCGCUAAGUCGUAAGACGAUGUAUGGGGGCUGACGCCUGCCCAGUGCCAGAAGGUUAAAGAAGUUGGUUAGCAUCCGCGAAGCUGAUAACUGAAGCCCUGGUGAACGGCGGCCGUAACAAUAACGGUCCUAAGGUAGCGAAAUUCCUUGUCGGGUAAGUUCCGACCCGCACGAAAGGCGUAAUGAUUUGGAUACUGUCUCGGAGAGGGACUCGGUGAAAUAGACUUGUCUGUGAAGAUGCGGACUACCUGCACCUGGACAGAAAGACCCUAUGAAGCUUUACUGUAACUUGAAAUUGAAAUUGGACUUUAUUUGCGCAGUAUAGGUGGGAGGCGUUGAGAAUAUUCUUGCGGGAAUAUUGGAGCCAUCAGUGAGAUACCACUCUUGUAAUGUUAGAUUUCUAACUUUGCAUCAUUAUCUGGUCAAAGAACAGUUUCAGGCGGGCAGUUUGACUGGGGCGGUCGCCUCCCAAACGGUAACGGAGGCGUACAAAGGUUUCCUCUGAACGGGUAGAAAUCGUAUCUAGAGUGUAAAGGCAUAAGGAAGCUUGACUGUGAGACCUACAAGUCGAGCAGGGACGAAAGUCGGUCUUAGUGAUCUGACGGUGCUGAGUGGAAAGGCCGUCACUCAAAGGAUAAAAGUUACUCUAGGAUAACAGGCUGAUCUCCCCCAAGAGUUCACAUCGACGGGGAGGUUUGGCACCUCGAUGUCGGCUCAUCGCAUCCUGGGGCGGUAGUACGUCCCAAGGGUUGGGCUGUUCGCCCAUGAAAGCGGUACGCGAGCUGGGUUCAGAACGUCGUGAGACAGUUCGGUCCAUAUCCGGUGUAGGCGUUAGAAUAUUGAGAGGAGCCUUCUUUAGUACGAGAGGACCGAGAAGGACAUACCUCUGGUGUACCAGUUAUCGUGCCAACGGUAAACGCUGGGUAGCUAUGUAUGGAGAGGAUAACCGCUGAAAGCAUCUAAGUGGGAAGCCCACCUCAAGAUAAGUAUUCUC
rnacentral:rRNA from 1 species